rnacentral:rRNA from 1 species
CCUACGGGGGGCAGCAGUCGGGAAUAUUGCGCAAUGGAGGAAACUCUGACGCAGUGACGCCGCGUAUAGGAAGAAGGUUUUCGGAUUGUAAACUAUUGUCGUGAGGGAAGAAAUUGACAGUACCUCAGGAGGAAGCUCCGGCUAACUAUGUGCCAGCAGCCGCGGUAAUACGGAGGGUGCGAGCGUUAAUCGGAAUUACUGGGCGUAAAGCGCUCGUAGGCGGUAUGUCAAGUCAAGGGUGAAAUCCCCGCGCUCAACGUGGGAACUGCCUUUGAAACUGGCAAACUGGAGUGUGUGAGAGGAUA